rnacentral:lncRNA from 1 species
GCGGACUGUCGCGGGCAACGGCGGCGCGGACUGGCGCGGGCUCCGGGGGCGGCUGACCGGGGAUGAACGGGCUCCCCAAACCCUAGUUCUUGGAUGUUGGAGGAAAGUGAGAGGGAGGAAAGUGAGGGGGGAGGGGAGGGGGUCACCGUCUCCUGCACGGGCGGGUGUAAGAGAGGAAGGAGCGCGGGCGGAUGGGGUCACGGAGGGCGGGGCGCCGGCGAGGAUGACCUGGGUGGGCACCGCCGCGGUUGCUUCGGGUGGAAGGGGAGGGGAGCAAGAUUGACGGUGGCUGGUCCGUAGAACAAGCAAAUUGGGGAACAAGACGAAGAGAAGAGAAGAGAAAGAGAAGAGAAGAAACUACGUGGACGCGGUAAAAAGGCG